GAUGAACGCUGGCGGCAUGCCUAAUACAUGCAAGUCGAGCGAACAGACGAGGAGCUUGCUCCUUUGACGUUAGCGGCGGACGGGUGAGUAACACGUGGGUAACCUACCUAUAAGACUGGGAUAACUUCGGGAAACCGGAGCUAAUACCGGAUAAUAUUUCGAACCGCAUGGUUCGAUAGUGAAAGAUGGCUUUGCUAUCACUUAUAGAUGGACCUGCGCCGUAUUAGCUAGUUGGUAAGGUAACGGCUUACCAAGGCAACGAUACGUAGCCGACCUGAGAGGGUGAUCGGCCACACUGGAACUGAGACACGGUCCAGACUCCUACGGGAGGCAGCAGUAGGGAAUCUUCCGCAAUGGGCGAAAGCCUGACGGAGCAACGCCGCGUGAGUGAUGAAGGUCUUCGGAUCGUAAAACUCUGUUAUUAGGGAAGAACAAACGUGUAAGUAACUGUGCACGUCUUGACGGUACCUAAUCAGAAAGCCACGGCUAACUACGUG
rnacentral:rRNA from 1 species